GAUGAAGAACGCAGCGAAAUGCGAUAAGUAAUGCGAAUUGCAGAAUUUCCGUGAGUCAUCGAAUCUUUGAACGCACAUUGCGCCCACUGGUAUUCCGGUGGGCAUGCCUGUUCGAGCGUCAUUAUCCUCCCUCAAACCUCGGGUUUGGUGUUGGACCCAAGUUGUGUGAACAACUGGUCUUAAAGACAAUGACGGCGUCCGUGGGACCCUCGGUGCAACGAGCUUUUAGGAGCACGCGCCGAGUUUCAAGGACCUUCCGGGCCGGUCUCCUUUACCAUUUUACAACGUUGACCUCGGAUCAGGUAGGAAUACCCGCUGAACUUAAGCAUAUCAAUAAGCGGAGGA
rnacentral:misc_RNA from 1 species